rnacentral:rRNA from 1 species
UGCAGUCGAACGAGACCUUCGGGUCUAGUGGCGCACGGGUGAGUAACGCGUGGAAACCUACCAUUCUGUACGGAAUAACGAUUGGAAACGAUCGCUAAUACCGUAUACGCCCUGUGGGGGAAAGGUCCGCCGCAGAAUGAGGGGUCCGCGUCCGAUUAGCUUGUUGGUGGGGUAAAAGCCUACCAAGGCGAUGAUCGGUAGCUGGUCUGAGAGGAUGAUCAGCCACACUGGGACUGAGACACGGCCCAGACUCCUACGGGAGGCAGCAGUGGGGAAUAUUGGACAAUGGGGGCAACCCUGAUCCAGCAAUGCCGCGUGUGUGAAAGAAAGGCCUUUAGGUUGUAAAAGCACUUUUCAAUGGUGAAAGAUUGAAUGACGGGUAGCCCGUAAAAAGAAACCCCCGGCUACUUUCGUGGCCAGCCAGCCGCGGUAAUACGAAGGGGGCGAGCGUUUGUUCGAAUUUACUGGGGCGUAAAGGGCGCCGCAGGCGGGCAAUC